AAAAAGACAAGGGGAAAUGCUAUGGGAUGUUCUCUAAGCUGUGAAUGUGUUGCUCUGAUUGGUUAAUAAAUAAAGUGCUGAUUGGCCAGAAGCCAGGCAAGAAGUAUAGGUGGGACAAAGGGAGAG